AUUGAACGCUGGCGGCAGGCUUAACACAUGCAAGUCGAGCGGGGGAAGGCAGCUUGCUACUGGACCUAGCGGCGGACGGGUGAGUAAUGCUUAGGAAUCUGCCUAUUAGUGGGGGACAACAUCUCGAAAGGGACGCUAAUACCGCAUACGUCCUACGGGAGAAAGCAGGGGAUCUUCGGACCUUGCGCUAAUAGAUGAGCCUAAGUCGGAUUAGCUAGUUGGUGGGGUAAAGGCCUACCAAGGCGACGAUCUGUAGCGGGUCGGAGAGGAUGAUCCGCCACACUGGGACUGAGACACGGCCCAGACUCCUACGGGAGGCAGCAGUGGGGAAUAUUGGACAAUGGGGGGAACCCUGAUCCAGCCAUGCCGCGUGUGUGAAGAAGGCCUUAUGGUUGUAAAGCACUUUAAGCGAGGAGGAGGCUACUUUAGUUAAUACCUAGAGAUAGUGGACGUUACUCGCAGAAUAAGCACCGGCUAACUCUGUGCCAGCCGCCGCCGUAA
rnacentral:rRNA from 1 species